rnacentral:lncRNA from 1 species
GCGAAUUCCCUCCACUAGUAUCACAGUUUUGGAGUUUGCAGACUUUAAUCCUUCAUCUGUAUUCUAGAAGCUCAACUUUGCCUUGGGAGAUUUGGACGAUGCCAAACCUCAGACACCUCCAUGUUAAACCAAGUAUCUGUUUGCCGAGCCCAACCAAAGUAGAAUGUAAUAGAUACGAUUCCUUGGUUCUAAAUAACCUACAAACACUUGCCAAUAUUAUCUCCAUGUUAAACCAAGCAUCUGUUUGCCGAGCCCAACCAAAGUAGAAUGUAAUAGAUACAGUUCCUUGGUUCUAAAUAACCUACAAACACUUGCCAAUAUUACCCUUGCAGAUUGUAAAAAGGAUGUCUUCUUAAGCACUCCUAAGUUAAAGAAAUUGGGGAUAUGUGAAUCGAUCGAGUAUACUUACCCAGUUCAAAUUCCCUGGAGUGAUUUUCUUUACACUUCUGAAAAACUCUGGCCUUAUGCUAGCGAUACAAUUUCAGACUU